GAGUUUGAUCCUGGCUCAGGAUUAACGCUGGCGGCAUGCCUAAUACAUGCAAAUCGAACGAAGCCUUUUUGGCUUAGUGGUGAACGGGUGAGUAACACGUAUCCAAUCUACCCUUAAGUUUGGGAUAACUAGUCGAAAGAUUAGCUAAUACCGGAUAAUAACAUUUACUUGCAUGAGUGAAUGUAGAAAGUUGCGUUUGCAACGCUUUUGGAUGAGGGUGCGACGUAUCAGAUAGUUGGUGAGGUAACGGCUCACCAAGUCAUUGACGCGUAGCUGUACUGAGAGGUAGAACAGCCACAAUGGGACUGAGACACGGCCCAUACUCCUACGGGAGGCAGCAGUAGGGAAUUUUUCACAAUGGGCGAAAGCCUUAUGAAGCAAUGCCGCGUGAACGAUGAAGGUCUAUAAGAUUGUAAAGUUCUUUUAUUUGGGAAGAACCACUAAAAUAGGAAAUGAUUUUAGUUUGACUGUACCAUUUGAAUAAGUAUCGGCUAACUAUGUGCCAGCAGCCGCGGUAAUACAUAGGAUGCAAGCGUUAUCCGGAUUUACUGGGCGUAAAACGAGCGCAGGCGGAUUUGUAAGUUUGGUAUGAAAUCUAGAUGCUUAACGUCUAGCUGUAUCAAAAACUACGAAUCUAGAGUGUAGCAGAGAGUUGGGGAACUCCAUGUGGAGCGGUAAAAUGCGUAGAUAUAUGGAAGAACACCGGUGGCGAAGGCGCCAACUUGGACUAUUCCCUGACGCUUAGGCUCGAAAGUGUGGGGAGCAAAUAGGAUUAGAUACCCUAGUAGUCCACACCGUAAACGAUCAUCAUUAAAUGUCGGCUCGCUUAUGAGUCGGUGUUGUAGCUAACGCAUUAAAUGAUGUGCCUGGGUAGUACAUUCGCAAGAAUGAAACUCAAACGGAAUUGACGGGGACCCGCACAAGUGGUGGAGCAUGUUGCUUAAUUUGACAAUACACGUAGAACCUUACCUAGGUUUGACAUCUAUUGCAAUGCUAUAGAAAUAUAGCGGAGGUUAACAAUAUGACAGGUGGUGCAUGGUUGUCGUCAGCUCGUGUCGUGAGAUGUUGGGUUAAGUCCCGCAACGAGCGCAACCCCUUUCGCUAGUUAAUUUAUCUAUCGAUACUGCUACCGCAAGGUAGAGGAAGGUGGGGAUGACGUCAAAUCAUCAUGCCCCUUAUAUCUAGGGCUGCAAACGUGCUACAAUGGUUAAUACAAACAGUUGCAAUACCGUAAGGUGGAGCGAAUCUGAUAAAGUUAGUCUCAGUUCGGAUAGAGGGCUGCAAUUCGCCCUCUUGAAGUUGGAAUCACUAGUAAUCGCGAAUCAGACAUGUCGCGGGGAUUACGUCCUCGGGUCUGGUACACACCGCCCGCCAAACUAUGGGAGCCGGUAAUAUCUGAAACCGUACUGUUAACCUUUGGGGGGGAAUACGUCUAGGGUAGGAUUGGGGACUGGAGUAAAGUCGUAACAAGGUAUCC
rnacentral:rRNA from 1 species